GGGAAGGUAGCUCAGUGGUAGAGUGUGUGCCUUGCAUGCAUGAGGCCCUGGGUUCGAAUCCUCAGCCCCA
rfam:Dipodomys ordii contig_18590, whole genome shotgun sequence.